rnacentral:rRNA from 1 species
CCUACGGGGGACAGCAGUGAGGAAUAUUGGUCAAUGGACGAGAGUCUGAACCAGCCAAGUAGCGUGAAGGAUGACUGCCCUAUGGGUUGUAAACUUCUUUUAUAUGGGAAUAAAACGUUCCACGUGUGGGAUUUUGUAUGUACCAUAUGAAUAAGGAUCGGCUAACUCCGUGCCAGCAGCCGCGGUAAUACGGAGGAUCCGAGCGUUAUCCGGAUUUAUUGGGUUUAAAGGGAGCGUAGGUGGAUUGUUAAGUCAGUUGUGAAAGUUUGCGGCUUAACCGUAAAAUUGCAGUUGAAACUGGCAGUCUUGAGUACAGUAGAGGUGGGCGGAAUUCGUGGUGUAGCGGUGAAAUGCUUAGAUAUCACGAAGAACUCCGAUUGCGAAGGCAGUUCACUGGACUGCAACUGACACUGAGGCUCGAAAGUGUGGGUAUCAAACAGGAUUAGAUACCCUGGUAGUC